AUACGGAGGGUGCAAGCGUUGUUCGGAUUUAUUGGGCGUAAAGCGAGUGUAGGCGGUUUGACAAGUCGAAUGUGAAAUCCCGAGGCCCAACCUCGGAACUGCAUCCGAAACUGUCAGGCUAGAGUCCCGGAGAGGAUGGCGGAAUUCCCGGUGUAGGGGUGAAAUCCGUAGAUAUCGGGAGGAACACCAGUGGCGAAGGCGGCCAUCUGGACGGUGACUGACGCUGAGACUCGAAAGUGUGGGUAGCAAACAGGAUUAGAAACCCCGUAGUCC
rnacentral:rRNA from 1 species